rnacentral:rRNA from 1 species
GAUGAACGCUGACAGAAUGCUUAACACAUGCAAGUCUACUUGAACUUCGGUUUGGGUGGCGGACGGGUGAGUAACGCGUAAAGAACUUGCCUCACAGUUAGGGACAACAUUUGGAAACGAAUGCUAAUACCUGAUAUUAUGAUUUUAGGGCAUCCUAGGAUUAUGAAAGCUAUAUGUGCUGUGAGAGAGCUUUGCGUCCCAUUAGCUAGUUGGAGAGGUAACGGCUCACCAAGGCGAUGAUGGGUAGCCGGCCUGAGAGGGUGAACGGCCACAAGGGGACUGAGACACGGCCCUUACUCCUACGGGGGGCAGCAGUGGGGAAUAUUGGACAAUGGACCAAAAGUCUGAUCCAGCAAUUCUGUGUGCACGAUGACGUUUUUCGGAAUGUAAAGUGCUUUCAGUUGGGAAGAAAAAAAUGACGGUACCAACAGAAGAAGUGACGGCUAAAUACGUGC